AUGCCGCCAUCCAAUCGUAUCCUGUAUAUGUCGGCCAGUAGAUUCAAAUUCAAAUGUACGCUGAUCCACACAACGCGUCGGCUCACACCCGCGUCGGAUCACAUCCCCGGUCACAACCAAAAGGAGGCAAAUAUGCUUAGUUUUUACAUGCACAAAUCCAAAAGAACAUCAGUUCGGCAGUCCGUGCAUCUCUGCCCUGCCGGACCGGCAAUCCUAGGAAGCUGGUCCCCGGUCAAGGAGGUGUCGCCGCCUCCGCGUAGGCAGUCUCCACGUCCGCAUCCGCCUAUGCGGCGUCCUCAUCGUCCGCCGCCGCCAACUCAUCUUUCUGCCGCUGCAACAUCUGGUAGCGGACGGAUUGCACGAUCAUUCUAG
rnacentral:rRNA from 1 species